GAGAAGACGAGAAAAAGACAGAAGUAGAGGAAGACAACGUGGACACGACAGCAGCUCAGUCUACUUCUUUCUAUGCUAGUCUGGAGCCUCGACACAGGUCUAUUUACGAAGUGCUGGAUCGAUCAGCUGCUGCCACUCCGUCAGGACAAACUAAAACGAAGUCAGAGAAAAGCGGCCCCUCUGAAAUGGCCAUCAGAACUACAGAACCCCAG